rnacentral:siRNA from 1 species
AAAUAGCCAUGGUGUCAGAGCA